AAUAUUGCGCAAUGGGGGCAACCCUGAUCCAGCCAUGCCGCGCGUGUGAAGAAGGGCUUCGGAUUGUAAAGCACUUUAAGUUGGGAGGAAGGGCUUUAGGCUAAUACCCUGAAGUUUUGACGUUACCAACAGAAUAAGCCCCCGCUAACUCUGUGCCAGCAGCCGCGGUAAUACAGAGGGUGCAAGCUGUAAUCGGAAUUACUGGGCGUAAAGCGCGCGUAGGUGGUUCAGUAAGAUGGGUGUGAAAUCCCCGGGCUUAACCUGGGAACUGCUUGCAUAACUGCUGAGCUAGAGUACGGUAGAGGGUAGUGGAAUUUCCUGUGUAGCGGUGAAAUGCGUAGAUAUAGGAAGGAACACCAGUGGCGAAGGCGACUACCUGGACUGAUACUGACACUGAGGUGCGAAAGCGUGGGGAGCAAACA
rnacentral:rRNA from 1 species